rnacentral:rRNA from 1 species
CCUACGGGAGGCAGCAGUGAGGAAUAUUGGUCAAUGGACGAGAGUCUGAACCAGCCAAGUAGCGUGAAGGAUGACUGCCCUAUGGGUUGUAAACUUCUUUUAUAUGGGAAUAAAAUGUUCCACGUGUGGGAUUUUGUAUGUACCAUAUGAAUAAGGAUCGGCUAACUCCGUGCCAGCAGCCGCGGUAAUACGGAGGAUCCGAGCGUUAUCCGGAUUUAUUGGGUGUAAAGGGUGCGUAGGUGGAUUGUUAAGUCAGUUGUGAAAGUUUGCGGCUCAACCGUAAAAUUGCAGUUGAAGCUGGCAGUCUUGAGUACAGUAGAGGUGGGCGGAAUUCGUGGUGUAGCGGUGAAAUGCUUAGAUAUCACGAAGAACUCCGAUUGCGAAGGCAGUUCACUGGACUGCAACUGACACUGAGGCUCGAAAGUGUGGGUAUCAAACAGGAUUAGAUACCCUAGUAGUC